rnacentral:rRNA from 1 species
GAUGAACGCUGGCAGCGUGCCUAAUACAUGCAAGUCGAGCGAAUGGAUUAAGAGCUUGCUCUUAUGAAGUUAGCGGCGGACGGGUGAGUAACACGUGGGUAACCUGCCCAUAAGACUGGGAUAACUCCGGGAAACCGGGGCUAAUACCGGAUAACAUUUUGAACCGCAUGGUUCGAAAUUGAAAGGCGGCUUCGGCUGUCACUUAUGGAUGGACCCGCGUCGCAUUAGCUAUUUGGUGAGGUAACGGCUCACCAAGGCAACGAUGCGUAGCCGACCUGAGAGGGUGAUCGGCCACACUGGGACUGAGACACGGCCCAGACUCCUACGGGAGGCAGCAGUAGGGAAUCUUCCGCAAUGGACGAAAGUCUGACGGAGCAACGCCGCGUGAGUGAUGAAGGCUUUCGGGUCGUAAAACUCUGUUGUUAGGGAAGAACAAGUGCUAGUUGAAUAAGCUGGCACCUUGACGGUACCUAACCAGAAAGCCACGGCUAACUACGCGCCAGCCGCCGCAGUAA